rnacentral:RNase_P_RNA from 1 species
GUAAGCGCCAGAGCUAGCUUCGGAUCAUUCGUGAUCUGCGGAAAGUCCACCCACUCAUUACCGACCGCUUGUCGCAAGGCAAGAAGGGGAGACUCUUGGCAACACAGACAAGAGAAAAAACCACCUGUUUUUUGGGAUGAUACGCAAAAGAACCGCCUUGGUAACAGACGGGAGUUAACUCGUUGACGACAAAACAGGAAAGGAUGAGAACUGUGCCCUGGUUGAGUGCAAGUCUUUUUGACGCUUAGUCUACUGCUAGCAAGGUCAUCGCAAAGAAAAGUACUUCUUUGUUUGGGCCAAUAACAGAAGGUGGCUUAUCUGGCGCAUAC